rnacentral:tRNA from 4 species
GCAGCGGUAGUUCAGUUGGUUAGAAUACCGGCCUGUCACGCCGGGGGGCGCGGGUUCGAGCCCCGUCCGCUGCGCCA